rnacentral:rRNA from 1 species
UACGUAGGGUGCGAGCGUUAGUCGGAAUUACUGGGCGUAAAGUGUGCGCAGGCGGCCGCGCAAGUCGAGUGUGAAAGCCCCGAGCUUAACUUGGGAAUUGCGCUCGAAACUACGUGGCUGGAGUGUGGCAGAGGAAGGUGGAAUUCCAGGUGUAGCGGUGAAAUGCGUAGAGAUCUGGAGGAACAUCAGUGGCGAAAGCGACUUCCUGGACCAGUACCGACGUUCAGGCACGAAAGCGUGGGGAGCAAACAGG